rnacentral:rRNA from 2 species
AUUUAAAAAAAAGGGAUUUUUUUUUUGUUUAUUUUAACGAACGCUGGCGGCGUGCCUAAUACAUGCAAGUCGAACGAACUCUGGUAUUGAUUGGUGCUUGCAUCAUGAUUUACAUUUGAGUGAGUGGCGAACUGGUGAGUAACACGUGGGAAACCUGCCCAGAAGCGGGGGAUAACACCUGGAAACAGAUGCUAAUACCGCAUAACAACUUGGACCGCAUGGUCCGAGCUUGAAAGAUGGCUUCGGCUAUCACUUUUGGAUGGUCCCGCGGCGUAUUAGCUAGAUGGUGGGGUAACGGCUCACCAUGGCAAUGAUACGUAGCCGACCUGAGAGGGUAAUCGGCCACAUUGGGACUGAGACACGGCCCAAACUCCUACGGGAGGCAGCAGUAGGGAAUCUUCCACAAUGGACGAAAGUCUGAUGGAGCAACGCCGCGUGAGUGAAGAAGGGUUUCGGCUCGUAAAACUCUGUUGUUAAAGAAGAACAUAUCUGAGAGUAACUGUUCAGGUAUUGACGGUAUUUAACCAGAAAGCCACGGCUAACUACGUGCCAGCAGCCGCGGUAAUACGUAGGUGGCAAGCGUUGUCCGGAUUUAUUGGGCGUAAAGCGAGCGCAGGCGGUUUUUUAAGUCUGAUGUGAAAGCCUUCGGCUCAACCGAAGAAGUGCAUCGGAAACUGGGAAACUUGAGUGCAGAAGAGGACAGUGGAACUCCAUGUGUAGCGGUGAAAUGCGUAGAUAUAUGGAAGAACACCAGUGGCGAAGGCGGCUGUCUGGUCUGUAACUGACGCUGAGGCUCGAAAGUAUGGGUAGCAAACAGGAUUAGAUACCCUGGUAGUCCAUACCGUAAACGAUGAAUGCUAGUGUUGGAGGGUUUCCGCCCUUCAGUGCUGCAGCUAACGCAUUAAGCAUUCCGCCUGGGGAGUACGGCCGCAAGGCUGAAACUCAAAGGAAUUGACGGGGGCCCGCACAAGCGGUGGAGCAUGUGGUUUAAUUCGAAGCUACGCGAAGAACCUUACCAGGUCUUGACAUACUAUGCAAAUCUAAGAGAUUAGACGUUCCCUUCGGGGACAUGGAUACAGGUGGUGCAUGGUUGUCGUCAGCUCGUGUCGUGAGAUGUUGGGUUAAGUCCCGCAACGAGCGCAACCCUUAUUAUCAGUUGCCAGCAUUAAGUUGGGCACUCUGGUGAGACUGCCGGUGACAAACCGGAGGAAGGUGGGGAUGACGUCAAAUCAUCAUGCCCCUUAUGACCUGGGCUACACACGUGCUACAAUGGAUGGUACAACGAGUUGCGAACUCGCGAGAGUAAGCUAAUCUCUUAAAGCCAUUCUCAGUUCGGAUUGUAGGCUGCAACUCGCCUACAUGAAGUCGGAAUCGCUAGUAAUCGCGGAUCAGCAUGCCGCGGUGAAUACGUUCCCGGGCCUUGUACACACCGCCCGUCACACCAUGAGAGUUUGUAACACCCAAAGUCGGUGGGGUAACCUUUUAGGAACCAGCCGCCUAAGGUGGGACAGAUGAUUAGGGUGAAGUC